CCGGCACGGGUGAGUAACACGUAUCCAACCUGCCGUCUACUCUUGGACAGCCUUCUGAAAGGAAGAUUAAUACAAGAUGGCAUCAUGAGUCCGCAUGUUCACAUGAUUAAAGGUAUUCCGGUAGACGAUGGGGAUGCGUUCCAUUAGAUAGUAGGCGGGGUAACGGCCCACCUAGUCUUCGAUGGAUAGGGGUUCUGAGAGGAAGGUCCCCCACAUUGGAAUGAGACACGGUCCAA
rnacentral:rRNA from 1 species